CAGUUCAAUUUAGGAGAAAAUGGCAUAAUUUAAAUGGAAUGUUAUUUGAGACAUUACAAUGAUAAUCUCUUUGCUAAAUUGAAACAAAUGGUAAUUCUCAAGGCCAGCUUCCUUAAUUAUACCUCUCAUUCUCAAGUAGUAAUUUUGAAGCUUGUAUGAAACUAAAACACCAAGACAGCAAUUUUGAUUGAAAUGUAUUUCAAGGAAACCCUACCAGGUUGUAAAAAGCCACAAACUAGCAUUAAAAACAUUCACUUAAAAGAGAGCUGGCUUGAUGAGGGCUUGUGUUCUCCUUAGUGUGACCAGCAUUACUUCAAAGGAAGAGGGGCUGAACUGCAAAGGCUGCCCUGCCAGUGACCCCCAGCCAGGAGACAUGGCCUCUGCACCUGAAUUGAUACAGUUGAACUUCUCAUCUACCCUACAGACAAGUACGACAGUUCAACUGGCAAUCUUUUCCAGUUAAAGACAAGCUUUGCCAUUUACUAAUCUGGUGACGUCAGACAAACCACUUAAUUGAGACUCAGACUCCUAGAUACUUAAAGAAUGACCACUGAAGAUCAAGAGAUGG